rnacentral:tRNA from 1 species
GAGUCUGUAGCUCAGUUGGAUAGAGCAUCGGCCUUCUAAGCCGAGGGUCGGGGGUUCGAAUCCCUCCAGGCUCA